UACCUGGUUGAUCCUGCCAGUAGUCAUAUGCUUGUCUCAAAGAUUAAGCCAUGCAAGUCUAAGUACGAGCUCUCGUACAGUGAAACUGUGAAUGGCUCAUUAAAUCAGUUAUGGUUCAUUUGAUCGUCCAGUUU
rnacentral:ncRNA from 1 species